GACGAACGCUGGCGGCGUGCUUAACACAUGCAAGUCGAACGGAAAGGCCCUGCUUUUGUGGGGUGCUCGAGUGGCGAACGGGUGAGUAACACGUGAGUAACCUGACCUUGACUUUGGGAUAACUUCAGGAAACUGGGGCUAAUACCGGAUAGGAGCUCCUGCUGCAUGGUGGGGGUUGGAAAGUUUCGGCGGUUGGGGAUGGACUCGCGGCUUAUCAGCUUGUUGGUGGGGUAGUGUCUUACCAAGGCUUUGACGGGUAGCCGGCCUGAGAGGGUGACCGGCCACAUUGGAACUGAGAUACGGCCCAGACUCCUACGGGAGGCAGCAGUGGGGAAUAUUGCACAACGGGCGGAAGCCUGACGCAGCAACGCCGCGUGCGGGAUGACGGCCUUCGGGUUGUAAACCGCUUGCGCCGGUGACGAAGCGUGAGUGACGGUAAUGGGUAAAGAAGCACCGGCUAACUACGUG
rnacentral:rRNA from 1 species